GACGAACGCUGGCGGCGUGCUUAACACAUGCAAGUCGAACGGAAAGGCCCUGCUUUUUUGGGGUGCUCGAGUGGCGAACGGGUGAGUAACACGCGAGUAACCUGCCCUUCACUUUGGGAUAACUUCAGGAAACUGAGGCUAAUACCGGACAGGAGCUCCUGCUGCAUGGUGGGGGUUGGAAAGUUUCGGCGGUAGGGGAUGGAUUGGCGGCUUAUCAGCUUGUUGGUGGGGUAGUGGCUUACGAAGGCCUUGACGGGUAGCCGGCCUGGGAGCGUGACCGGGCACAUGAGGACUGAGGUAGGGAGCAGAAGGCAACGGGCGGCAGCGGUGGGGAGCCUGGCGCAGUGAGCGGAAGCGUGAGGAGAAAACGCCGCGUGCGGGAUGACGGCCUUCGGGGUAUGAACCGAUUUCGCCUAUGACGAAGCGUGAGUGACGGUAAUGGGUAAAGAAGCACCGGCUAACUACGUG
rnacentral:rRNA from 1 species